UCCUUACUGCAGGGGGAGAACACAAAGGAACAGAGAGUUAAAAUUGAUGUAGGAUGAGUUACAAAUGAUUUCCACAGGGACCCAAAAGGGUCAGGGAGACUCCCCCAGGGCGUUGUGAGGCUCAGAGGAACCCUUGGCUCUCUGAACUCCUGAUGGAGUUUGGGUGCAGCUGGGUCCAGCCUGAGUCUCCUGAGCACAGGUUUGUGUCUGAUGGAGCUGGCUGCAUGGAUUCAAUCAGAAUUGAUUCAGGCACUGAGGUCUGUGAUGGACACAGGGUCUCAGCCUUGCCCAGGGAGGAAUCUCUCAGUCUCAGGAUGAGGUCUCUCCUAUGGACAUUGAACUCCCAGCUACCUGUGCCUGCUGCCUGUGAUGGAAGAGCUGGAUGUGAAUGUGAGCUGGAGUGAGGGCUUCGGCAUCGCGGAGAAGAUCCUGCUGCUCUCCUUCAUCUCCGCCGUCAUCCUCAUGGCCAUCCUGGGCAACCUGCUGGUCAUGGUGGCCGUGUGCAGGGACAGGCAGCUCAGGAAAAUCAAGACCAACUAUUUCAUUGUUUCCCUGGCCUUUGCUGACCUGCUGGUGUCGGUGCUGGUGAUGCCCUUUGGAGCCAUGGAGCUGGUUCAGGACAACUGGAUCUAUGGGGAGAUGUUCUGCCUGGUGAGGACCUCCCUGGACGUGCUGCUGACCACAGCGUCCAUCCUGCACCUCUGCUGCAUCUCCCUGGACAGGUACUAUGCCAUCUGCUGCCAGCCCCUGGUGUACAGGAACAAGAUGACCCCGCUGCGCAUCGCGCUGAUGCUGGGGGGCUGCUGGGUGAUCCCCACCUUCAUCUCCUUCCUCCCCAUCAUGCAGGGCUGGAAUAGCAUUGGCAUCAUUGAUCUGAUCCAGCAAAGGCAGUUCAACAAGGCCUCCAACUCCACCUACUGCAUCUUCAUGGUGAACAAGCCCUACGCCAUCACCUGCUCCGUGGUGGCCUUCUACAUCCCCUUCCUGCUGAUGGUGCUGGCCUACCACCGCAUCUACGUGACGGCGCGGGCGCACGCGCGGCAGAUCCGCCUGCUGCAGCGCGCGGGGAACCCGGCCGAGCCCCGCCAGGGCCCCCAGGAGCCACGGCAGGGCCCUCAGGAGCCAGGGCAGGGCCCUCAGGAACCAUGGCAGCACCACCAGGAGCCACGGCACCACCAGGAGCCAUGGCAGGGCCUUCAGGAGCCAUGGCAGGGCCCUCAGGAGCCAUGGCAGGGCCUUCAGGAGCCACGGCAGGGCCCUCAGGAGCCACGGCACCACCAGGAGCCAUGGCAGGGCCUUCAGGAGCCACGGCACCACCAGAAACCACGGCAGGGCCCUCAGGAGCCACGGCACCACCAGGAGCCACGGCAGGGCCCUCAGGAACCACGGCAGGGCCCUCAGGAGCCACGGCAGGGCCCCCCUGACCAGCACAGCAGCCACCGCAUGAAAACGGAGACCAAAGCCGCCAAGACCCUGUGCAUCAUCAUGGGCUGCUUCUGCCUCUGCUGGGCCCCCUUCUUUGUCACCAACAUCGUGGAUCCCUUCAUUAACUACACGGUGCCCGGCAAGCUGUGGACGGCCUUCCUGUGGCUGGGCUACAUCAACUCGGGCUUGAACCCUUUCCUCUACGCCUUCCUCAACAAGGCUUUCAGACGUGCCUUCCUCAUCAUCCUGUGCUGCGGCGACGAGCGCUACCGAAGGCCUUCCAUCCUGGGCCAGACCGUGCCCUGCUCCACCACCACCAUCAACGGCUCCACGCACGUGCUGAGGGUAAACAGCUGGAAGUGUUGAACUCACUGCCAGAGGCUUCAGACAGACACUUUGUGCCACACGACAUCCUGGGACACCUUAAUGACUCCUCUUUAGCUUAAUGAACCUCUAACAAUCAGCACCGCCUGCUCUUGCUGCUCUUGCUCCACUCUGGGAUGGCCGCAGAACACGGAGGAAGGUACACGGUUUUACACAACGGGCACCACCAGGAACAGGAGAAGCUUCCCAUCCACACCGACCCUGAAUCCCAAGAGUCCUGUUUCUAGUCCUGGCCCAGCAGAGGAGGAACAGAGGCCUUUUGGGACAUCCCAAGGAUUCACAGACAGCAGCACUUGAAAAUCCAUCCAUCUGCAUUGUCCCGGUGCCUCCUGCAGUGAAUUCCCAGGAAUGUCCAGCUGGAGGAGCUGGGUGGGAGCAUGGGGAGGGUCAGGACUGAUGUCCCUUCCCUGUCCCUGUCCCUGUCCCUGUCCCUGCAGGAGCAGCUGGAGCUGUGCCAGAGCCCUGCUCCAGGAGCGAGGCAUUCCUGGCAAAGCCAGGACCAAAACAGCUCCAAACCAGCCUGAGCAGGGACUCCUGCAGCUCCUUUCCUGCUGCUCCUUCCCCUUCCAGCUGCCCCUGCUCAGCUCAGCCCACCCUGGAGGUCACAGCUGUGGGGUGGCACCGAGCUGCCCCAUCCCUGCUGGCUCUGCCUGGAGCCUGGGCACUGCCAGGGGAGGAGCAGCCCCACGUUUUCUCCAGGAGAACAAGAGGAAAUGUUUGCUGCCCUUUGGUUCCAGCCCCAGCUGCUGCUUCCCCCACCCUGCAGAGCUCUGCAGUGCCCAGGGAGGAUCCCAGGGUGUGCAGGAGCUGAGUGGGACCAGCAGGGCCAGCCCAGCUCAGAGCCAUGGCCCUGCUCUGCCAUUCCCAGGGGAUGGGACGUGCCCUGGAGCCCAGAGCUGUCCCCAUCCCUCCCUCAGCAAACUUUGGGCGUUCUGAGACAGCAGAAGCUUGGCCAGGAGCCAGAGCCAAUGGAUCACUAAGUGCCAUCUUGGAAAACAAACCACCUAAACCCUUUUCUAGCUGCAUUUGGAAGAGAGACUUCCACUUACCUUUGCCACCUUUAUUUUUCUAUUUGUUGCUGGUCUCUUCCAGUCGAGGCAAGAAGUUUUCCAGACUUUCCAGUCUUGCAUUUGCAAAGAUCUCAGCCCUCAGCUGCUUCCUGCAUGUCGGUGUUGCCACGUUCCUCGUGGGCUGCUUCCCCCUUUGCAUGGAAAGGGUGGGCAAGGCUCUGAACUCCACAAAUUUGGGAAAAGGAUUUUCAUGCAGGAUGAAGACCACGAGCCUCGACCCUUUUUAGGUGAAGAUCUACCCCAAGAUGCCACGCUGAGCCUAGAAAAUACAACUGUACUUUGUCAUGUCGUGGAACCAUGUACAGAUAUUUUUAAUGUACAAAGAGAAGCUGACAUUAUUUAUUAUUUUUUAUCAGGAACAUGUGUUUUUUUCAUUAAAAGCUUCUAGACCAAGGAGCUUAACAUUCUAUGUAUUAUUAUUUAGUAAUAUUUCUGUUGCUAUGUGACAGGUAUUUACUGCAAACAGACAAACCCCGCUCGGAACAAACACAAAUGUUGCUCAGUAGGAGAAAUGUUGUGCAUGAGAAGAACAAGUGGCUUCCUGGCCAUGGUGUCUGACUUCUUUAAAUACUUCUUCCACAGCAAAGUCACUGGUAAAGCUUCACAUCCCUUUCCUGUAGGAUUCAGAAGGACACAGGGCAGAAACAGCCCCAGUUGGAAUGCUGAGGUAGAAAAUUGCUGCCUGCUGGAAAGACACAAAUUGUUGGUGUUUGUGGUGGAAGGUGCUCCUGGUUCAUCUCUGGGACCUGGUUGGCAAUGACCUGUUUUUACAGGGUUUUGUUUCCAAAAAAAUUCAUUUAACUUUACUCUCGACACCAGAACUGCGGAGUGAAAAAAAGCCAUUAUUGAAAAUUUGGAAAAAAACAUCCAAGGCUGCCUCAGUGCUGUGAUCCUCCCCCUGUGGAAGUGCCCACAGGGGUUUGCUGGGCUUUGGGCACACGAGGCUGCAGAACAGCUUGGUUGGUUUCACCUCAAGUGUCAAAUUUCUUAAAGAAAUCCUGAAAAAAAGCUUUUCUCUGUCCCCUUUGAAGGGCAUCAAAUCUUGGUGUGAGAUUUCCUGGAGUGAGAUGGAACCAGCAGCACAGGGAGAGGUUCUUGGGUUCUGCUUUGUCCUUCAGGUGUUGUUUUCUCCUUUAUUUUUAUGUGCAUUAGGAAAAGAUCUCUUUUUAAUUUAAAAUAAACUCCCAUUUUCUCCAGGGACAACAUUCCCAAGGCUCUGUCAGUGGGAGCAGUGGCUCCCCAGCCAAAAUGGUCAAAGGCUCUCACUGGGAAAAGGCUCCCCCCUUCCCACUGGAUGAAAUUCCAAACACCAAAUGUCCAUGUCCUGGAUGGACACCAGGACACCUCUAAUCCCUCCCUGGGCUCAGCAACCCUGUCAGGACCCACCUGGCAGCUCCUGCUCACUCAGCCAAUAACCCCAGCACAGCUCCUGUGACCCAGCAGUGCCCUGGGCCAUCAGCAGUGGAGAAUUCCCCUGGAAAGGAAGGGCUCUCAUGGAAAGCCCCACUCUGGAUUGCCCUGGCUGCUCCUGUGGCCUCCCAGUUCAGCUUUGCCCAUCUUGGCUGGUGGUGCCAGUCCUUGCCUGUGCUCAGUGUCUGUGCUGCAGUGGCUGUUCCUAAAAAUAAAAGCUCCUCUCUGGACAUGGCAGUGAACUCCAGCUUGGGCUGAUUUCUGGUGCUGCUGGCACUCCAGCCCCAGGCUGGGAGCAGCUGCCACCUCCCAGCUGCCCCUCAGGAGGCUCCAGGGGCUGGAGCAGGGAGGGGAAUCUGCCCCUCUGCUUUUCCUACAACCCCUGCCAGGAGGGGACAGCCGGGGGGAUUGGGCUGGGAACAGGGACAGGAGGAGAGGGAACGGCCUCAGGCUGGGCCAGGGCAGGCUCAGGGUGGGCACAGCAGGAAUUUCCCCAUGGAAAGGGGGCUCAGGCACUGGAACUGCCCAGGGAGCUGUGCAGAGCAAGAAGGUUCCCCCUGAGCCUCCUUUUCUCCAGGCUGAGCCCCUUCCCAGCUCCCUCAGCCUCUCCUGGGGCUCCAUCCCCUUCCCAGCUCCAUUCCCUUCCCUGGGUCCCUCCUGCCUGAGGGCUCAGAACUGGCCCAGAACGGGACCCCUGGAGGUCCCUCAGCAGGGCCAGCACAGGGGACAGUCCCUGCCCUGGUCCUGACUGUGCCCCUGCUCACAGGAAUUUGUUCCUUCCCAGCUGUGAGUUAUUUGCAGUCCAGGAGGCCCCACUUUGUCCUGGCCCCUUACCUGGAGGAGUCCCAGGUCCCUGUGGAGCUGCUGAUGGGAUCAGAGCCAUCCAAAGGGAUUCGUGUGAGAAAUGAAAGCCAAGGGUCCCCUGGAUGCGGGGCAGUGGAUCCCCUGCUCCAGAGACACUUUUUUGGCAAGCUCUGCUCCUCCAGGGUGUCUGUUCCACCAAAGGACACUUCAGGGAGGACAGACAUGGGAAUGUGUCACUGAAAACCUGCAGAGCUGACAGGGAAAUGAUGCUCACCUUGCCUCUGACUCAAAAUGGCUUUGACUUUACCUCAUCUGCUCCUUUGACUUUACCUCUGGCUCCAGAGCUCUGUGAACAGUCAGCAAUGCUGCAUUAGCUACAUACAUGCUGCUUUUGCAUUUCCAGAUACUCUCAGUUCAGGGAUUACUGCAGGUAUCUUCAGCCUAAAGCACAUCUCACCCAGGACUGUGGCUCAGGGUGGAGCUCACUCCCAGCUGGCCCUGCUCAGCAAGAGGAGGGAGAAUCUGAAGGUAUUUGAGGCACUUCUUGGUGUCAGCCUGGCUCAAUAACGUGCCCAGAACCAACCAAUGGGGCCCAGAUCGUGUCCAGCUCGUUCCCAGCACAGAUGAAAAGCAGGGAGCAGCUCCAGCCAGGAGCUGCUUUGGGAGCAGGCAGCCCACACAGGCACUGAGUCAUUCCCACCCAGCUCUGGGAGUGCUGAAGCCAAGGAGAGCAUUUCCAUUCUGUACCUGGCAGCUGGGAACCCUUCCCCAGUUUAGGAUCCCCUUUUCCUCCACAUUUGAGCUCCUGAGCCACCUCUGAGCAUUCCAGGCCAAAAGGCAAGAAAUCUGCAGGGGAUUAAUAAUACAGACUCAAUAAAAAUAUACCAAAGCUUUUAGUUCUUGCACUUUUGGUAUAAAUCUUGCUGAAUGAAUCCCCAGUUUAUCUCCUGCCAACACCCAGGGAGUGCUGAGGAGCUGAAGGGAGCUCUCCAGGGGAUGGGCCCUGGCUUUGGCUGUCCUGCUGUCACAGGCAGUGCACACAGGGCCAGGGUGUCCCUGUCCCACCCUGACAAGAGGGUGAGUUGGAAUUGCUUAUCUGGGAACUAGAAGAGGAAAUCCUGGGCAAGGGGGUCCUCACAGCCUGAGCAGCCUGGAGAGCAGGGGCAACAUUCCUGGCUCCAUCAACCCCUUACAGCUUCUCACACAAAAACACUUCCAAAAUCCUUUCCUUUUUGAAACCCAAGCACUGGUUCUGCCCUCCUCCUCAAGGAGAGGGAAAAGCAGCCCCAGCACAGUGAGCAGGAGGCUGUGCCCCCUGUGCUGUGCCCAAACACACCCUGGCCUUUCUCUGUUUACCUUCUGCACUAUUUAGAUGACAUUUCCAGGCACCUGAGCCUCUCCCAGCUGGGAUCUCUGCAUCCUCUUCCAGGAAGAGCUGUGGGAAAAGCAGUGCCAGUCACCUCAGGCUCACUCCCAGCAGCUCCUGGACCUGGGGUGCUCAUUGCUCCUCAGGGACUGUAAGAGGAGCCCCCUCUGACUGCACCUGCACAGAGGGACAGAAACCCCACCAAGAUUUCACCUCCCCGGAGUGGCUGGGUCAGAGCUGACCCAGGGAAGAAAUUCCUGCUCCAUGUUUUCCCCAAAGCCACGCCCAGGGGGAGGCAGGGCACAGAGGUGGUGCAGUCACAUUUCCUCCAUCAUCUCCUCAGUGCUGGCCAGGCUGCCCUGGGAGCUCCCUCUGGGACCCAGGUGCAAACAGCCCUGGAUCCAGGGGCUGUGCUGGCCCCCAGCCUGUCCCCACAGGGGCAGAGAGAGCUGGAACUCCUGUGCUGCAGGAGCAGCAGGAGCACUGUCCCCUCCCCUGCAGGGACAGCAGCUGCUCCUCCUGCCACACUCCAGGCACGGGAGGGAGGAGAAGCCUGGCACAGAAACAGCUGGGAUGCUCCAAGGAGAGCUGAGCUAGGGAAAGCCUCCCCUGCCCUGGUGAUUGAAUAAAAGUGCCCAAAACUGCCAGGAGAUGGAGAGAGGAGGAAGCUCAGAGCCAAAAGAUCAAAUCCCCAGAAGAUCCCAGCUCCUCCCUGUCCCCAGCCCUCAGGAGAUGCACUCAGGGCGUGCAGGCACUGGUGUAAAAUGGGUGUCACACUUCAGAGGGCAAAAUCACUGCAAGGUUCAACUGCUUCCAGAGAUACUGAACAUAAACAAACACUUUAUUUGUGUAAAUACUUCUGCAAAAGGCUGCAGGGAGGAGAUACCAGCUGGAGACGUGGUGAAUACUCCAGAAACUCAGAAACAUUUUCUGGACUAAAAUGGUAAAUCUGACAGAAUCAAUGACUCAGAGGACUUGAAACACUUCUAGAAAGGGUCACAAUUGUUUUGGCUGAAUAUCAUGGAAUACAUUAUCUAUGGUUAAUUAAAUGUAAGAGUUAUAAUAAACCAUUGACUGUGAUCCUGCAUUAAAGCAAAUUUAGUAACAUUCACAUUCUCUGCUGUUCAGUGCUCCACCUCCAGUCAGCACAGAGCAGGGCUGAGGAAAUGCUCCCACUAGGCACCAUUCUCUCCCUCUUAGCCCACGUAUUUCUAGUUCCACAUUAUCCCAAGAAUUCCCACAGAGAGAAAACCAACACUGCCUUGGCUGUGUGGAGCAGCUUCACCUCAGUUUUACAGAGCUAAACAGCACAGAAAUCCCCAUUAGCCACAUUCAGCCCAAAUUCAGAGAAUCACCAUCAGGAUGAUGAGAAAAAUUGGAUAAAAUGGUCUAAACUGUACAGCUUUUACCUCAGAAGUGUCAUUUUCUAGGCUGGUAAAGCCAGUUUUAAACAAGCAUGGAUGAGAGACCAGGCCAGAGGUGGGAAGUGGCCUCUGCCAGCCCUGGGAGUGCCACACCAAAAUGUGCACGUCCCACCUCACUGGCAGCAAAUCCCCACCAAACACCUGUGGGCACUGGGAGCACCUUUCAAUACACCACACACACACAUUUUGGGCAAAUAGCAGCAGUUUUUACUGACCAGUGCAUUCAGGGGGAGCCCAAGGCAGCCCCAGAGCUCCCUGGCUGUGUCAGAGCCCGUGCUGCCACGGCCACCAGGCAGCUCCACAUCCCCUGCUCUGCCUGCCUGAAGGGAGAGCUCAGCUUCCAGCCAGCCUGAACGAGCAGAGUUAUGUUCAGGAGGGUGGAACCAACAAUCAGCAACUUGAUUUCCAUAGUACAGAGUCAAAUACACCAAGAAAAUGAAAUCUAACAGUACAAAAUGCUUGAGAACAUUCUGCUUCCAAGGUGCUAAACAUGGGGGCUUCCUUCCCCCCAAAAAUGGGUUGAAUAUCUCUAGAAACUACCACAGAUCACCAAAUUCUCUACUUCUGUUUUUUUUUCUCCUGCUUCUGGCCUUCUUUGCAACAGCUGGAGAAUAUUCUGACCCUUCCAAAAAUGCACACAAGACACCAAGGUUGUGCUCAACAGGUUUACUCAGACUGGACUCUUAAAUGCUCAAGAAAAAGGCACAGAUUAAAAGAGACUCUGAUGACUCUUUUGAACACAGCAAAUGGAAUUGUUGUUUAUAAGGAAAAAAAAAUACUGCUAUGAAUUGUAUGGGUUGGAAAGUUCAAAUCUUCUUCCCCUUUCCUAAUUAUUGGCCUUCAUUAAAAUGGAACUUAAAUUAAAUUGUAUAAACAUAUGAAAUAAAGUCUCAGUAUUAGGAAGUUUUGUUUUUGUGGGGUUUUUUUUUUUUGUUUCCUCUAUGUACAACUCUUAGUAUACAAUUUGUACUUUCCAUUUUACAUUUAACUACAUCCUCCUGGCCACGGGGAGAGCCGAGGGCGCCUCGGCGGGAAAUGCUUUGCAUUUGGAAAAACAAAAA